rnacentral:rRNA from 1 species
AGUUGGGUUAAGUCCCGCAACGAGCGCAACCCUCGUCCUUAGUUGCCAGCAUUCAGUUGGGCACUCUAGGGAGACUGCCGGUGACAAACCGGAGGAAGGUGGGGAUGACGUCAAGUCAUCAUGCGCCUUACGCCCUGGACUACACACGUACUACAAUGCUGUGGACAAAGAGUUGCCAACGCGCGAGGGCGAGCCAAUCUCUUAAACCACGGCUCAGUUCAGAUUGCAGGCUGCGACUCGCCUGCCUGAAGGCGGAAUCGCUAGUAAUCGCAGGUCAGCAUACUGCGGUGAAUACGUUCCCGCGCCUUGUACACACCGCCCGUCACACCAUGGGCGUUGGCCAUGCCCGAAGUCGUUACUCUAACCCGCAAGGGAGGGGGACGCCUAAGGCAGGGCUGAUGACUGGGGUGAAGUCGUAAGAAGGUAGCCGU